rnacentral:rRNA from 1 species
AUUGAACGCUGGCGGCAGGCCUAACACAUGCAAGUCGAGCGGGGUUUUCGGACCUAGCGGCGGACGGGUGAGUAAUGCGUAGGAAGCUGCCCGAUGGAGGGGGAUACCAGUUGGAAACGACUGUUAAUACCGCAUAAUGUCUACGGACCAAAGUGUGGGACCUUCGGGCCACAUGCUAUCGGAUGCGCCUACGUGGGAUUAGCUAGUUGGUGAGGUAAUGGCUCACCAAGGCGACGAUCUCUAGCUGGUUUGAGAGGAUGAUCAGCCACACUGGAACUGGGACACGGUCCAGACUCCUACGGGAGGCAGCAGUGGGGAAUAUUGGACAAUGGGCGCAAGCCUGAUUCAGCCAUGCCGCGUGUGUGAAGAAGGCCUUCGGGUUGUAAAGCACUUUCAGCGAGGAGGAAGGGUGGUGUGUUAAUAGCACAUCAUUUUGACGUUACUCGCAGAAGAAGCACCGGCUAACUCUGUGCCAGCCGCCGCCGUAA